AACCCUGGUGGGGAAAGAAAAAGGCUCUCCACAAGGCCAUGUAAUUCGUACCCCCCCCGGAAGAGGUUAUUCGGCCCCACUUGGGGAAUUGAGACCCCGGCCCCAGAUUUCUUAGGGAGAGGCAGCAGUAGGGAAUUCUUCCACAAUGGGCCGCAAGUUCUGAUGGAGCAACCCCCGCGUGAAUGAAGAAAGGGUUUCGGCUCGUAAAGCUUCUUUGUUAAAGAAGAACGUGGGUAAGAGUAACUGUUUACCCAGUGACGGUAUUUAACCAGAAAGCCACGGCUAACUACGUGCCAGCAGCCGCGGUAAUACGUAGGUGGCAAGCGUUAUCCGGAUUUAUUGGGCGUAAAGCGAGCGCAGGCGGUCUUUUAAGUCUAAUGUGAAAGCCUUCGGCUCAACCGAAGAAGUGCAUUGGAAACUGGGAGACUUGAGUGCAGAAGAGGACAGUGGAACUCCAUGUGUAGCGGUGAAAUGCGUAGAUAUAUGGAAGAACACCAGUGGCGAAGGCGGCUGUCUGGUCUGCAACUGACGCUGAGGCUCGAAAGCAUGGGUAGCGAACAGGAUUAGAUACCCUGGUAGUCCAUGCCGUAAACGAUGAUUACUAAGUGUUGGAGGGUUUCCGCCCUUCAGUGCUGCAGCUAACGCAUUAAGUAAUCCGCCUGGGGAGUACGACCGCAAGGUUGAAACUCAAAAGAAUUGACGGGGGCCCGCACAAGCGGUGGAGCAUGUGGUUUAAUUCGAAGCUACGCGAAGAACCUUACCAGGUCUUGACAUCUUCUGACAGUCUAAGAGAUUAGAGGUUCCCUUCGGGGACAGAAUGACAGGUGGUGCAUGGUUGUCGUCAGCUCGUGUCGUGAGAUGUUGGGUUAAGUCCCGCAACGAGCGCAACCCUUAUUACUAGUUGCCAGCAUUAAGUUGGGCACUCUAGUGAGACUGCCGGUGACAAACCGGAGGAAGGUGGGGACGACGUCAAAUCAUCAUGCCCCUUAUGACCUGGGCUACACACGUGCUACAAUGGAUGGUACAACGAGUCGCGAGACCGCGAGGUUAAGCUAAUCUCUUAAAACCAUUCUCAGUUCGGACUGUAGGCUGCAACUCGCCUACACGAAGUCGGAAUCGCUAGUAAUCGCGGAUCAGCAUGCCGCGGUGAAUACGUUCCCGGGCCUUGUACACACCGCCCGUCACACCAUGAGAGUUUGUAACACCCAAAGCCGGUGGGGUAACCUUUAGGAGCUAGCCGUCUAAGUGACAGAGAAUGGU
rnacentral:rRNA from 1 species